GUGACUGCGUACCUUUUGUAUAAUGGGUCAGCGACUUAUAUUCUGUAGCAAGGUUAACCGAAUAGGGGAGCCGGAGGGAAACCGAGUCUUAAUUGGGCGUUAAGUUGCAGGGUAUAGACCCGAAACCCGGUGAUCUAGCCAUGGGCAGGUUGAAGGUUGGGUAACACUAACUGGAGGACCGAACCGACUAAUGUUGAAAAAUUAGCGGAUGACCUGUGGCUGGGGGUGAAAGGCCAAUCAAACCGGGAGAUAGCUGGUUCUCCCCGAAAGCUAUUUAGGUAGCGCCUCGUGAAUUCAUCUCCGGGGGUAGAGCACUGUUUCGGCUAGGGGGCCAUCCCGGCUUACCAACCCGAUGCAAACUGCGAAUACCGGAGAAUGUUAUCACGGGAGACACACGGCGGGUGCUAACGUCCGUCGUGAAGAGGGAAACAACCCAGACCGCCAGCUAAGGUCCCAAAGUCAUGGUUAAGUGGGAAACGAUGUGGGAAGGCCCAGACAGCCAGGAUGUUGGCUUAGAAGCAGCCAUCAUUUAAAGAAAGCGUAAUAGCUCACUGGUCGAGUCGGCCUGCGCGGAAGAUGUAACGGGGCUAAACCAUGCACCGAAGCUGCGGCAGCGACACUCAGGUGUUGUUGGGUAGGGGAGCGUUCUGUAAGCCUGUGAAGGUGUGUCGUGAGGCAUGCUGGAGGUAUCAGAAGUGCGAAUGCUGACAUAAGUAACGAUAAAGCGGGUGAAAAGCCCGCUCGCCGGAAGACCAAGGGUUCCUGUCCAACGUUAAUCGGGGCAGGGUGAGUCGACCCCUAAGGCGAGGCCGAAAGGCGUAGUCGAUGGGAAACGGGUUAAUAUUCCCGUACUUGGUGUUACUGCGAAGGGGGGACGGAGAAGGCUAUGUUGGCCGGGCGACGGUUGUCCCGGUUUAAGCGUGUAGGUGUGUGUUCCAGGUAAAUCCGGUUCACUUUAACACUGAGGCGUGAUGACGAGGCACUACGGUGCUGAAGCAACAAAUGCCCUGCUUCCAGGAAAAGCCUCUAAGCAUCAGGUAACAUCAAAUCGUACCCCAAACCGACACAGGUGGUCAGGUAGAGAAUACCAAGGCGCUUGAGAGAACUCGGGUGAAGGAACUAGGCAAAAUGGUGCCGUAACUUCGGGAGAAGGCACGCUGACACGUAGGUGAAGUGAUUUACUCAUGGAGCUGAAGUCAGUCGAAGAUACCAGCUGGCUGCAACUGUUUAUUAAAAACACAGCACUGUGCAAACACGAAAGUGGACGUAUACGGUGUGACGCCUGCCCGGUGCCGGAAGGUUAAUUGAUGGGGUCAGCGCAAGCGAAGCUCCUGAUCGAAGCCCCGGUAAACGGCGGCCGUAACUAUAACGGUCCUAAGGUAGCGAAAUUCCUUGUCGGGUAAGUUCCGACCUGCACGAAUGGCGUAAUGAUGGCCAGGCUGUCUCCACCCGAGACUCAGUGAAAUUGAACUCGCUGUGAAGAUGCAGUGUACCCGCGGCAAGACGGAAAGACCCCGUGAACCUUUACUAUAGCUUGACACUGAACAUUGAGCCUUGAUGUGUAGGAUAGGUGGGAGGCUUUGAAGUGUGGACGCCAGUCUGCGUGGAGCCGACCUUGAAAUACCACCCUUUAAUGUUUGAUGUUCUAACGUGGACCCGUAAUCCGGGUUGCGGACAGUGUCUGGUGGGUAGUUUGACUGGGGCGGUCUCCUCCUAAAGAGUAACGGAGGAGCACGAAGGUUGGCUAAUCCUGGUCGGACAUCAGGAGGUUAGUGCAAUGGCAUAAGC
rnacentral:rRNA from 1 species